GACGAACCGUGCGAACGUUAUUCGGAAUCACUGGGCUUAAAGCGCGUGUAGGCGGGACGGCACGUCGGUCGCUGAAAUCCCCCGGCUCAACCGGGGAACGGGCGCCGAUACGACCGCCCUGGAGGGGCGUAGGGGGACCUGGAACUUCCGGUGGAGCGGUGAAAUGCGUUGAGAUCGGAAGGAACGCCCGUGGCGAAAGCGAGGUCCUGGACGCCUACUGACGCUGAACUGCGAAAGCCAGGGGAGCGAACGGG
rnacentral:rRNA from 1 species